rnacentral:rRNA from 1 species
UACGUUGGCAGCGAGCGUUGUUCGGAGUUACUGGGCGUAAAGGGUGUGUAGGCGGUUGUUUAAGUUUGGUGUGAAAUCUCCCGGCUCAACUGGGAGGGUGCGCCGAAUACUGAAUGACUCGAGUGUGGGAGAGGUGAGUGGAAUUCCUGGUGUAGCGGUGAAAUGCGUAGAUAUCAGGAGGAACACCGGUGGUGUAGACAGCUUACUGGACCAUUUCUGACGCUGAGACACGAAAGCGUGGGUAGCAAACAGG